CAUGCAAGUCGAACGGAAAGUGCCCAGCUUGCUGGGUGACUCGAGUGGCGAACGGGUGAGUAACACGUGGGUGAUCUGCCCUGCACUUUGGGAUAAGCCUGGGAAACUGGGUCUAAUACCGAAUACACCCUGCUGGUCGCAUGGCCUGGUGGGGGAAAGCUUUUGCGGUGUGGGAUGGGCCCGCGGCCUAUCAGCUUGUUGGUGGGGUGAUGGCCUACCAAGGCGACGACGGGUAGCCGGCCUGAGAGGGUGUCCGGCCACACUGGGACUGAGAUACGGCCCAGACUCCUACGGGAGGCAGCAGUGGGGAAUAUUGCACAAUGGGCGCAAGCCUGAUGCAGCGACGCCGCGUGAGGGAUGACGGCCUUCGGGUUGUAAACCUCUUUCGCUCACGACGAAGCGCAAGUGACGGUAGUGAGAGAAGAAGGACCGGCCAACUACGUGCCAGCAGCCGCGGUAAUACGUAGGGUCCGAGCGUUGUCCGGAAUUACUGGGCGUAAAGAGCUCGUAGGUGGUUUGUCGCGUUGUUCGUGAAAACUCACA
rnacentral:rRNA from 1 species